GGGCCAUGGUGAACUGCCGAAGCCAAUUUACGGCGGCAGGAGAGGAAGCCGGUGCGAGUCCGGCGCGGUCCCGCCACUGUCACCGGGCGACCGCACGCGGUCCCCGGGAGCCAGGAACUCUCGCCGCCGGUCUCGUCGA
rfam:Streptomyces silvensis strain ATCC 53525 53525_Assembly_Contig_6, whole genome shotgun sequence.